ACGAACGCUGGCGGCGUGCUUCACACAUGCAAGUCGAACGGUGAAGCGCCUUCCUUUUUGGUGGGUGUGGAUGAGUGGCGAACGGGUGAGUAACACGUGAGUAACCUGCCCCCUUCUUCUGGAUAACCGCAUGAAAGUGUGGCUAAUACGGGAUAUUCUGGGUCUGUCGCAUGAUGGGUCUGGGAAAGAUAUUGUUUCGGUGGGGGAUGGGCUCGCGGCCUAUCAGCUUGUUGGUGGGGUGAUGGCCUACCAAGGCGGUGACGGGUAGCCGGCCUGAGAGGGUGGACGGUCACACUGGGACUGAGACACGGCCCAGACUCCUACGGGAGGCAGCAGUGGGGAAUAUUGCACAAUGGGCGCAAGCCUGAUGCAGCGACGCCGCGUGAGGGAUGGAGGCCUUCGGGUUGUGAACCUCUUUCGCCAGUGAAGCAGGCCUGCCUCGUUUGUGGGUGGGUUGACGGUAGCUGGAGAAGAAGCGCCGGCUAACUACGUG
rnacentral:rRNA from 1 species